GCUGGGCGUGGUGGCGGGCGCCUGUAAUCCCAACUACUCGGGAGGCUGAGGCAGGAGAAUUGCUUGAACCCGGGGGCCAGAGGUUGCAGUGAGCUGAGAUCAUACCACUGCACUCCAGCCUGGGCAAUAGUGCAAGAUUCUGUCUCAA
ensembl:misc_RNA Metazoa_SRP Metazoan signal recognition particle RNA